CUGCUUGCUUCAGCAGCACAUACACUAAAAUUGGAAUGAUGCAGAGAAUAUUAGCAUGGCUCCAGUGCAAGGAUUACAUGCAAAUUCGUGAUGCAUUCCAUAUUUUU
rnacentral:snRNA from 1 species